rnacentral:rRNA from 1 species
CCAAUAGCGUAUAUUAAAGUUGCUGCAGUUAAAAAGCUCGUAGUUGAAUUUCGGGACUAAUAUGUCGGUCGUGCCUCGGUACGUACUGGCUUAUUGGUUUCUCCUUUCUGAAGAACCAUGAUGUCAUUUAUUUGGUGUCGUGGGGAAUCAGGACUGUUACUUUGAAAAAAUUAGAGUGUUUAAAGCAGGCUUUAGCUUGAAUACAUUAGCAUGGAAUAAUGAAAUAGGACGUUCGAACCUAUUUUGUUGGUUUCUAGGAUCAACGUAAUGAUUAAUAGGGAUAGUUGGGGGCAUUAGUAUUCAAUUGUCAGAGGUGAAAUUCUUGGAUUUAUUGAAGACUAACUACUGCGAAAGCAUUUGCCAAGGAUGUUUUCAUUAAUCAAGAACGAAAGUUAGGGGAUCGAAGACGAUCAGAUACCGUCGUAGUCUUAACCAUAAACUAUGCCGACUAGGGAUCGGAUGAUGUUAAUUUUUUAAUGACUCAUUCGGCGCCUUACG